GUGCUAAUCUAGCUGGGGCAAGACUUGCUUCAGUGGGGCUUUGGUGCUCACUGAGUCUGCCCCCUGAGUGUGUCCCU
rnacentral:pre_miRNA from 1 species